rnacentral:rRNA from 1 species
UGGGGAAUUUUGGACAAUGGGGGAAACCCUGAUCCAGCCAUCCCGCGUGUGCGAUGAAGGCCUUCGGGUUGUAAAGCACUUUUGGCAGGAAAGAAACGUCAUGGGUUAAUACCCCGUGAAACUGACGGUACCUGCAGAAUAAGCACCGGCUAACUACGUGCCAGCAGCCGCGGUAAUACGUAGGGUGGAAGCGUUAAUCGGAAUUACUGGGCGUAAAGCGUGCGCAGGCGGUUCGGAAAGAAAGAUGUGAAAUCCCAGAGCUCAACUUUGGAACUGCAUUUUUAACGACCAGGCUAGAGUGUGUCAGAGGGAGGUGGAAUUCCGCGUGUAGCAGUGAAAUGCGUAGAUAUGCGGAGGAACACCGAUGGCGAAGGCAGCCUCCUGGGAUAACACUGACGCGCAUGCACGAAAGCGUGGGGAGCAAACAGG